GAGAAUUCAGGCCACUUAAAAUGAGACACAGGAAAUCCUUCAUAGGUCCAACUGGGAGAAAAUGAAACCAUCAAACAAUCACUCUUCACUGCCGAAACCAACCACUGUGAUUCUUGCCAGAAAAUUAGGAUUGAGAGAACGUGACCACAAACGGAAAAACAAUCUGUUCAAGUUGCCAGGAUGAAGAAGCCGAUAUCAUUUUACAGUGGAAUUUCAAUUAGGAACUAGUUGUUAUUUUGGUGUUCAAGAAUUUCGGGGAGCAGUAUUGGAUUUGGUACACAUUCCACCACAACCUUCAAAACUUGCUCAUAUUCCCAGGAUGGUGAUCCGUUUCCACAGAAAAAAUGUAUCAACAUCAUCAUCGUCAUCAUCAAUUUAUAAUAUUGAGCACUUCAUGACACUUCUAUAUUUUAGCCAGUUUGAAGAAGUCAGAUUGACCUUCUGGCAAAGGUGACCAGACCUUCCUGCACAGAUCUGGGGCUCUCUUCCCGCCACUCAAAAAGUUUCUUGUUGGGUUUCAUUUAAGUA